UUUCCGUAGGUGAACCUGCGGAAGGAUCAUUAUUGAAUAACCGCGGUGCGAGGCCUGUCGCUGACCCGAUAUGUCGUGCACGCUCGAGUGCCCUCAGUCACAUCCCUCUCACCCCUAUGUGCACCCCCGCGUGGGUCCCCCUUUGGCUCGUUCGGCGGGGGGCCUACGUGUUAGCACAAACUUUGUAUGCAGUGUAGAAUGUAUUUUUUGUUUUUGCGAUGACGCAAUCAAUAAAACUUUCAACAACGGAUCUCUUGGCUCUG
rnacentral:misc_RNA from 1 species